rnacentral:rRNA from 1 species
GAUGAACGCUGGCGGCGUGCCUAAUACAUGCAAGUCGAGCGAACAGACGAGGAGCUUGCUCCUCUGACGUUAACGGCGGACGGGUGAGUAAAACGUGGAUAACCUACCUAUAAGACUGGGAUAACUUCGGGAAACCGGAGCUAAUACCGGAUAAUAUAUUGAACCGCAUGGUUCAAUAGUGAAAGACGGUUUUGCUGUCACUUAUAGAUGGAUCCGCGCCGCAUUAGCUAGUUGGUAAGGUAACGGCUUACCAAGGCAACGAUGCGUAGCCGACCUGAGAGGGUGAUCGGCCACACUGGAACUGAGACACGGUCCAGACUCCUACGGGAGGCAGCAGUAGGGAAUCUUCCGCAAUGGGCGAAAGCUUGACGGAGCAACGCCGCGUGAGUGAUGAAGGUCUUCGGAUCGUAAAACUCUGUUAUUAGGGAAGAACAAAUGUGUAAGUAACUAUGCACGUCUUGACGGUACCUAAUCAGAAAGCCACGGCUAACUACGUG